rnacentral:lncRNA from 1 species
UUUAAUCACAAGAGGGUCCUAGAUGCAUUCGGCGAGAAGGUGGAUGAAAAUGGCUUACUUCAUCUACUUUCAGUCCCCGAUGGACUGGAAGAUGGGAAAGAUAGGAAUCAGUUAGGGAAGUUAACUGAAAGAUUAUGCCAGGUUAUGCCUACUCAACUCAAAGAGCUCAUUCAUAAGGUUAAUGGAUCAGAUGAUGAUAAGAUUUCAUGUGUUUUAGCUGAUAUUAACAUUGGGUUGGCUCUUGAUGUUGCGGCGGAGUUGGGGAUUCCUACUGUGGGCUUGUGGCCGGGUGCAGUGUUUCAACUGGCGAUGUUGCUUAGUAUCCCCAAAUUUAUUGAUGAUGGACUGAUAGAUGAAAUUGGUAAGAACCUGUCUUGCUUUAACGACUUAGCAAUGCAGUACCUAUGAAUAAGAGAAAAUAUAAGUUUUUUUCUCGUCUGAGAUCUAAUUUGAUUCGACUUAGGCUAAUUUCUCGUAACUUUUGAAUUAAAAAGUGUUUAUUAUUAUUAUUAAAAAGUAUUUUUAAGAAAUAAUAUAUUUAUUUUAAACGGAAAUAAAAAUAUGCCUUUGAAAAUGCAAUAUAGAUUUUAAAUAUUUGUAAGCCAUUAAUAUUAAUUAUUUGUAAAAUUUAAUUUAAAUAUAUAAUUCAUAUUUUAAAUAUCAUUAAAAUAUAACUAUAAAAAAAUUAACUAAUAAUGGUAUAUAUUUAAAAUAAAUUUUAAUAGGAAAAUAAUUGUAUAUCCAAAAUAAUUAGUACAUAAAAGCACAUUAAAUUAUAAAUAAUGGUUAAAAAUGUGACUUGACUUUAAAAAUAUUUUUUGCAAGGAUUCAAAAGCAUUUUCUUACUUCUGAAACAGUCAGUUUAACAUUACUUAUAGUUUAAAAAACACUUUCAACAAUGUUAUCUUGUUUUGCAGGCACUCCACUCAUGAAACAUAAGAUGUUUCAGUUGUCACCAAAGACGCCUUCUAUACACCCAAUGAAUUUAGUAUGGCUUAACAUUGAUGACUCUCCUUCAACCCAAAAAAUCAUGUUUGAUUUUAUACUUAGGAACAUCAAAGUUGUUGAAACAACAGAUUGGGUACUUUGCAACUCAAGUUUGGAAUUAGAGUUUCAAGGGUUCAACUUAGUUCCCAAAGCCUCACCCAUAGGCCCAUUUUUAGCAAUCAAUCGGCUCGGAAACUUGUCGGGAAAUUUCUGGCCCGAGGAUUCAACUUGUUUGUAGUGGCUCGAUCAACAGUCACCUGGUUCAGUCAUAUAUGUCGCAUUUGGUAGUUUCACAGUUUUUGACCAAAUCCAGUUUCAAGAGUUAGCUUUGGGGCUUGAAAUCACCGAAAGACCAUUCAUUUGGGUUGUAAGAGAAGAUAUUACAAAAGGAAAACACCAUAACUACCCUAAAGGGUUUAAUGAAAGAGUUGGCAAUCGAUGUAGGAUAGUGAGUUGGGCACCACAAGCAGCAGUUUUGGGUCAUUCUUCCAUUGCAUGCUUUAUAAGUCAUUGUGGGUGGAAUUCCACCAUGGAAGGUGUAAGCAAUGGGGUGCCUUUCUUGUGUUGGCCUUACUUUGCUGAUCAGUUCCUGAAUGAAAGCUACAUUUCUGAUAUUUGGAAGACUGGAUUAAAACUCCAAAAGGAUGAAGGAGGUAUCAUUAGAAAAGAAGAAAUUAAAAGGAAGGUGGAACAAUUGGUUGGUGAUGAAAAUUUCAAAACAAGGGCUGUUGAACUGAAGCAAAUGGUUGAAAAAAGUGUCUGUGAUGGUGGAAGUUCUGAUAAGGUAUUCAAGAACUUUGUUCAAUGGUUGAAAUCAUAGAUCACUUCUUUGCAUUUCGUUUUCUUGUUGAGGUUGAUUUAAUGGUGGUGGUUGUAGUAUGUUAAUUUGAUUUCGUCCCUUCAAUUUAAGUUUCGAUUGAAAUAAUCAAUUUUAAUAAAUUAAAUCAAUCAAUUCUCCAAUCACCAUUUACUCAAUUUAUAAUAAAUUAGUUCCAAAUAUUACAUUGACUGUGAUUUUAAUUUAUUAAAUAUUAUGUUUACAAUUUAUAAAAAAAUAUUUUGAUUUAAUUUUUAAUAAAAAAUUGAUUAAUCUAAAAUAAUAAAACAACAUUUUAAAAAUAAUGAAAAAAUAAAAAAUAAUGAAUAGUGAAAUAUUAAAUAAAUAUAUAAACAUAAUUUAUCAUUUUAAUAUAAGUCAAAUAUUCAUCUACAAAUAAUCAUCACUUUAAUAUUUUAUUGCUUUUGACAUAUGAUUUCAAAACACAAUGAUAAAAUAUUUUCGCAAUUGUGUAAGUAUUAUUAAAAUCAAAUAAUAGUAUAGAGAAGGGAUUCACUUUUAAUAGUAUAAAAUGAAAAUAGUUUUACACGCUUUUUUAUUUCUUUGUACGAUCAAUAUUUUUAUAAUUCAAUUGUCGAAUUUAUUGAUGUAAUUGUACUUAUAAUUUUAUUUUAAUAAUAUAGAAUAAAUGAUAAAUUCAUAAUUUAAAAACAUUCAUUUUAAUCCAAGGAUUAAUAUUUUCAUUCUCAUUAUUUUUAUUAAAAAAUUCUCACAAUAAUUACUUCCUUUUAUAAUUAAAUUAAGUUAAAGAAAAAAAUAUAUUUUCAUCUUCUUCUCCUACAAAAACCCACAAAUUUCUUAUCCUAAAAUUCUUUCCUUUCCUUGAAAAAGUCCAUAAUCUCGAAAAGUCAUUUCUAACACUCAUGAGUUUAGAGUCCCUAAUGACACACUAUCAAAAUCUCAAAUACUCAUUUUUCUGAAUCCACCCCCUUUAUUUUACUAUUAGUUUUUAAUCCGAUGGUGCACGGGUUUACUUGUACUAUAUGUAUUAAUUAAAAUAUAUUAUAAAUUUAUAUAAAGUUAAUUUUAUAAUUGAUAUUAUAAAUAAAUUUAAAUUAUUUUAUAUAUUUUUGUAGUUAUCUAAAUGUUAUAUUUUCUUUUAUAAAUUGUAUAUAUUAAGUAAAUGAUUAUAUUAAUUUAAAAUGAGAGACUGGUAGGGCAAAAGGACCAUCAACAAUAAAACUAAAAAUAUUAUCAAAUCGAAAAUUAUUAGAAUAAAAGGAGCAACACAAUAAUUUUACAUAUAAUUGUCUAUAAUUUAAGUUGGUAAUUUUACUGGCAAAAUUGCCAUCAGCUAUUUGGUUAACAGUAUCAAAGAGAAUCAAAAUAAUGGUAAGACAACUUAAACAAUUAAAGGCAAAGUUUAUUAUUAUGAUUUUAUGCAUUUAAAAAAUUCUAAUUAUGUUUUUUUUUUUCCAUGAGUCAUCAAUAAGAUUAAAUAGUUUGAAGACCCAUAAAGAAGCAAUAACAUUAUUUUAAAUCAAUCAAAAUCGUAUGUGAGCGAGUAACAUGUAAAUUCUUAAAUAUAAUUGGUAUUAUUGUGUGUUUUUUUUCAUGUCCCUUUGAGAGGAAUAUUGGGAGUAUUUAUACAUACUCUUACUGUUACUAUUACAGCUUAUAACUGGGUGAAUCAUUUUGUCUCGGCCUUGGGGUUUCUGGUGCUAAUAUUCCCUGUGCACCCCCUAACUUGUUGGACGCGUGCCUGCGUAGCAUGCGGUCCUUUUUUAUCCUGGGCUAACAUCUUCAGCGAACUCUAUACCUAUUGGUCACGGGUCCGGAUUACUUGUAGGCUUCAUAAUCUUUCCUGCGAACACCGUUCGCGACCCAUCUUGCGAAGUGUGCCUACGAACUCUUUUUGCGAGCUGUCUUGGCAAAUACACCUCUUCCAAGUUGGGUCCAUCCAGGUCAAGGGUCGGAGACCCGAAUUCUUUUAGGACAUUUGGGUUGGCGAUUAUAUAUAUAUAACAUGUAUAAAAAAUAAAAAAUAUAGAGAAUAAUGAAAUAAAAAUUUAACAGAUAGGUAAUAUAGUUUGAUCGCAAGAAAUUAACUUUAUUUACCAAUUUAAAGACCUAAAAUAACCACAUAAAAAUUAAAGAAUGUGAAAAAUCUCCCAAAAACGACUCUCAAGAAAGACCUGUUUUCCAUAUAUAUAUAUCAUCUUAAUAAUAGAAGUAUAAAUUAAUGAUAUAAAAAAGUAGACAUUGAACUAACAAUUUGGUGGAAGAAACCGAAGAAAAGAAAAUGAGCACGUUAUAGUUGGCAGUAAACUUGUUAUCAAUGUAAUUUUCAAUUUGUAUUCAAGUGAAAUUAAAAAACGAAACUUAUAAAGAAAGAUAGUGUGGGGUGUGCCUUACAUUUAUCAGAUAUUUUACAGGUAACUUAGACGAAAAUCGACGAGCAAUUGAAAAAGGGCCAAAAUAAGCCCGACGUCGGGACAAGGAGAUCCUCGACGUUGGGACAAUGCGACGGUUUUUGGCAAUGGACAUGUCGACGACGUCAUGACGAGGAAAGCUGGCAUGUCAUGACAUCACGAUGAUUCCUAAUGUUAUACAACUACGUUUUGGACAGUUGAACAUGACUUCUUCUUCUAGUUGAGCUUUGAUUACUUCAAGGAUAUUUUAGUAUGAGUAAAACUCCAAUCUUAGUCUAUUUAAAGGGCCUUAAUAACCUUGAUAUCAAUCAGUGAGGGUUUUUCUUGAGGGCGACAAAAUAUAGUCAUAUAUGAGUUUUGAUGAGAAUUUUGUGGUAAUUAUGAAGAGAAUUUUGUUUUUGAGUUAUGACUUUAUUUUUGAGAUUUGAGAUUAUAUACUUAGUACAUUUAGGUUUAUUCUCUCCAUAUUGUUCUAUAUUUUUAUUAGCAAUAAGACAACUUAAAUAAUUAAAGGUGAAGUUUAUUAUUAUGAUUUUAUGCGUUUAAAAAAAAAAUCUAAAUAUGUUCUUCUUUCCAUGAAUCAUCGAUAAGAUUAACUAGUUUGAAAACCCAUACAGAAGCAAUAACAUUAUUUUAAAUCAAUCAAUAUCUUAUGUGAGCGAGAAAUAUGUAAAUUCUUAAAUAUAAUUGGUAUUGUUGACAUAUUUUUCUUCAUGUCUCAUUGAGAAGAAUAUUGGGGGUAUUUAUACAUACUCCUAUUGUUACUAUUGCAGCUCAUAAUUGGGCUCACCAUUCUGUCUCGGCCUUGGGGACUCUGAUGCUGAUAUUCCUUGCCUCUGGUGUUGACAUUCUCUUUAUGCCCCCUAGCUUGUUGGACACGUGUCUGCAUAGCAUGCGAUCCUUUCUGAUUUUAAGGCUGACAUCCUCAACGAGCUCCGUACUCGUUGGUCACGAGUCUAGAUUACUUGUAGGCCUUGUAAUCUUUCCUGGGAACAUUGUUCGUGACCCCAUCUUACGAAGUGUGCUCGGGAACUCUUCUUCCAGGCUGUCUUGGCGAGUACACCUCUUCUAAGUUGAGUCCAUCCAGGUCAAGGAUCGAAGACCUAAAUCCUUUUAGGACAUUUGAGUUGGCAAUUACAGAUAUAUAUAACAAGUAUAAUAAAUAAAAAAUAUAGAGAAUGAUGAAAUAAAAAUUUAACAGAUAGGUAAUGUAGUUUGAUCGCAAGAAAUUAACUUUAUUUACCAAUUUAAAGACCUAAAAUAACCACAUAAAAUAAUCAAAAAAUUAAAGAAUGUGAAAAGUCUCCCAAAAACAACUCUCAAGAAAGAACUGUUUUCCAUAUAUAUAUAUCAUCUUAAUAAUAGAAGUAUAAAUUAGUGAUAUAAAAUAUUAGACAUUGAACUAACAAUUCAAUAGAAGAAACCCAAGAAAAGAAAAAUGAGCACGUUAUAGUUGGAAAUAAACUUCUUGUCAAUGUAAUUUUCAAUGUGUAUUCCGGUGAAAUUAAAAAAAGAAACUCAUAAAGAAAGAUAAUGUAGAGUGUACUUUGCAUUUAUCGGACAUGUUAUAGGUAAUUUAGAUGAUAAUCUACGAGCAAUUUCUAUCUAUUUUUUACAUGUGGGCCAAUGAAUAAAUGCCCUAUGACAAGGUGGGACAAGUCUAAAUUGGUAAUUGAGUGAAAAGGAAAACUUGCAAAUAACUUUUCGUUUUCUUUUCGAGAGAUUUUUUUUUUUUUUGUGCAGAAACAGGUUUUGUCUUCUUCACUCGUUUUCAUUGGUACAAGUUAUGGGGAUUACAUACUUGCAAAGUAACCAAAUGAUUACAAGAGAGAAAAGAAAAUAUGAAUCCUAAGGCAAAAAAUAAAGCCACUUCUUAGAUGUUAUAAUAGCUUAAAUGGUUCAGGCAGAUAUUCGAAUCCAUUAUCAAAGAUGUAUCAUUGAUCUGACUUAUCAUGAAGAGAAUAAAAUCCCCUCUCAACAACAAGCUUGGAGAGAAUGAGUAUAUAUUGAUGAAAUCAAGAGAGAAAAGGAAAAAAUAGGUCUUUUUUUUUUUAAAUUUUUAGUUUUGAUUUAGAGAAUGUCGACAGGUAAAAUUUUAUGCAAGCCCUUCAAUUUUGAUUGUUUAGUUUUUUUCUUUAGCCUACAGUGCCACAUGGCAUCCAUUUGUUGGCCCACAUGUAAAAAAUGGAUAGAAAUUAACCUUGUUAGCAUGAGGUACCAAAAGGUUAGACAGAGAAAAGAUUGAGGUGCCGAAUCAGACAAAUUAAAAGUAUAAGUACCACAUUAAAAUUUUUGUUAAAAUAUAGGGAGAUUUUUGUCAUUAUCCCAAUAUCUGAGUUAGCAAAAAUCAAAUUUUGAAAAUUUCAACCAUAUCUCAAAUAUUUGAAUCCACAAAAAUCUAAAUUUGCUAAAAUUCUUUUUUUAAUAUAUAUAUAUAUAAAAUAAAACAAAAUUAAUUUUAAAUAACAUCUACCCGUAAUUAAAAACAGUAAUUUUAAACCCGGUAAAAUAUUCCCAAGGUCAUAAAACUAUUAGUAAGUUUAUGUUUUGGUUACUUAACUUUAAAAAGUUAUAAAAUAAUCACUGAACUAUUUGAAAGUUUUCAUUUAAGUCGUUGAAUUAUUUUAAAGUUUUUAUUUAAGUCAUUGGGUUGUUAAUUUUUUUUAAACUCCGGCUAGUGAGUUCCAAGUAACAAUUCAACGAUCUGUACGGUGGAUUGAUACUUAUUAACAAAUUGAAAAACAUACUUUAGAUCCAAGUUGAUCUGAUGGUUAGUGUUAGAGAUUAGAUAAUAAAAUUAUUUAGAUUUUGGUUUGCAAAUUCAUGACAUUUAAAGUUGUUUAAUGAAAGAAAAUUAAAUCGCAAAAGAGAAGGAGAAAGGAUGCUUUUGAUUGUGUAGACGGUAUAAACGAAAAUUCAUAACCAUUACAAACAGCUUAAACAAUAUAAAGACAAUUUUGUAGCAUAAAAGCAAUUACGAAAAAUCAAAUUUAUUUCUUUGAAAAUUUGAUUUAGGUACUACGUAAAAAAAAUCACUUUAAAUUAAGGUAUAAAGGGAUGGCUUUUACUUUUUAAAAAUAAAAAAAAAAUUAAUGCCAUUUACGAAUCAAACAUAUUAAUAUCAGAUAUCAUUUCAUUCGAGAAUUAGUUGAGAAUAGUCUAUUGAAUUGAAAUAUGUGCCUACUCAAAGUUAGCUAAUUGAUUUGUUCCCCAAAACCUUAGACUCAAACAAAUUUGAGAGCUUGAAAAGCUUAAUUGGAGUAUGCCGAGCUUAAAGUGUUAACUAUGUUUUGGACGACAUCUACAUGACUUAGCUUGAUCUAACUAAAUUACAUAAUGUAUAAAUAUUGAUAGUUAAUUUUUUAGAUUAAAGAUUAAAUUAAAACAAUGUAGAAAUAUUGAAGUUAAAGUUGUUGUUGUGCUAAAUUUAAAAGUUGUUAGGUCAUUUUUUUCCCGUUAACCAUUUAAUAGUUAGUGGUCAAACAAUAAUUUUAUAAUUUUUUAUAAUUAGAUAACCAAAAAUAAAAUUUGCUAAUAAUUAAAUAAUUACUAAUUUAGUUUACCAACGUAAAUAAAGUGGAUGACAAGUUGGGAGGGUCCAUGGCUUUAUACUCCAAGAGUGCGUCCAAAAUAUUCAUUAAUUUGCUCUGCAGGAAGUUGUUCCCUUCCCUGGUUCCCAAACUAGCCAUUUAUUAUUAUUAUUAUUAUUUGAAAUAAAUUAACUGAAUUUUAUUUUUAACCUCUAAAAGAUAAAGCCCAACAAAACAUAAAAUCCAAUACAAAUAAAAUAAAAUAGGCCUAUUUAAGAGAUUAAAUUACCAAUAAAUGUAAAAAAUGCUUUUAGGUGGAAGUAUUUUCUGCUGUAUUAACAUUAAAAAUAGUAACACCAAUAAAUUUUUUUAUUUUACCUAUUAAUCUAAAAAUAAAACUUACAGAACAAAUAUUUAUAUAGACUCUAAAUCUCAUUUUUCUUAUUUUUUUAAAUGAUGUCGGAUGUAGGAUAUAUGUAUAUAUAGACUCAUAAUUUAUUUACAGUUUGUUAUUAAACAAUGCGAUAAUUCUUCCAUUAAUUAUCACACCUUUCAAUCUUUCAAAAAAACUUUUCAUCUUCCCGAUCCUCUUUUAUUUUUUCCAUUCUUCAACUUUCCAGAAUGUAAAUCAACACCACACAUAUUAAACUUGCACACUGCUUUGUCAAUCUCUUUGCACUAGCUCCUCGACGUAAUCAGGGCCCCUUUGUUCAUAUCUCUUUGUUCCCUAUUUCCUAGGCCUUUUGUAGCCAACUUCGUUCUUCAUUCAUUGGCCAUGUUUGAAAUUGCAAAUUUGGAAUCCCUUACUCAGCCAUUGACAAUCUUUAAUGAGAGCACAAAUCUCCGAUAUAUCAUCCCCUUUUUUUUGUAGCUUUUUUAUAAUUGAUAAAACAUCUCCUUCUACCUCUGCAAUCAUGACUCCCAAAUCUAACCCUAAUUGAAGCCCUUGGACACAUGCAAGGGUCUCUGCUGCAAAAAUUGAAGGUACCCUCUCGUUUAGAACAAUCCUCGACGCCAAAACCUUUCCCUCUGAGUACCUAAUGACAAUCUUAAAGGAUGAUCUGUUUGGGCAAAUUUUUGGUGAAAGUAUUAGAAUGUAAUUUAUUAGAAAUUAAAUUAUAUUUUGUUUAUAUGCUAAAAAAAAGUAAAUUAGUCUCUUAAAUUAAUCUUUUCUAUUAAAAAUUUUAUUAAUUUAUUGAUUGAGUCUUAAUCCAAUUGAUAUUAAUAUUGUUGCCAAUAGAGUGACUAAAGCUUAUUAUCUUUUUAUUAAAAUAUUAGGAGGGACUGUUAGGUAAUUUUUUUUUGUUUGAAGUGGGUACCACAAGGUUGAAUAAUUUUCUUUGUCGGUUAGUUAAUUUUUUACGCACAACUUUUGUAUGCUGUGAUAGAAAUCAAAUUUGAGUACUAUACUUCUAUUAAUUUAAUUGUUGGCAGGGUUGGACAUUCCUUGGCACUCUUAAAAGUUUUGAGAAAUUAUUAUUUAUUUUUUAAAAUUUUAUUUAUCUUUUAAAAUUUUGAGAAAUUAUUAUUUAUCUUUUAAAGUAAAGAAAAAAGUAAGCUCCUCAAAAUUCUUUAAAAAAAUUCUCAUUAUAUAUAUUUUGAAAUUGUAAUUAAAAAAUUCACUUAAAAUAUUUAAAAAUUCUCAUUAAUUUCACAAAAAAUUUAAAAUUUUUAAUUAGACUCUUAAUUUUUUUAAAAUCUCAUUAAAAUUUUUGAAAUUUUUAAUAGCCUUAAAACUUAGCCCAAAAAUCUGCCACUGACAAUUGGUAAGUUUUUUUUUUGGCACUUAACUAUGAAUGAAAAGUUACAAAAUUAUCACUUAACUAUUCAAAUUUUUCCUUUUUGGUCACCAGUCGUAAAUGACUAAUAGAAAAUUAACGUGAUAGCUUUUAAAAUUGACAUAAUAAUAAUUUUAACCUUCAACAUUUAUAGCUCGUGUCAAAUUAGUCUUAAUUCUAAAAAAGAUUAACCCUCAAAAUUUACACAUUGUGUAAUUUGAUCUCUCCUUUUAUUUUUUUAUUUUUUUAUUUUUACCUUUUUUUUUGUUGCCCUUCCACCUAAAGAGCUAAAGGAAAAAAUUAAUCUAUCAAGUAAAUUUGAUAGGAAAUAUAUAAAAAAGGAAACAUUUGAAAUUUCAAGAUAAUCAUUUUUAAUUUUUCUUGUUCUUUUAAAAUUAACCCUCAACAUUACAAAUAAAAAGUAAAAUUGGAAAAAAAAUGCUAAUUUAUACAAUGUGCAAAUGUUGAGGGUUAAUUUUUUUUUUGGAAUCAAGGCUAAAUUAACACAAUGUGUAAAUGUUGAAGUUUAAUGUUACUAUUAUACCAAUUUUAAAAAUUGCUAAGUUAUCUUUCGGCUAGUAAUUUAAUGGCCGGUGAUUAUAAAAGAAAAUUUCAAAUAAUUAAGUGUCCAAAAAAGAAAAAAAAUGAAUAAUUGAGUAAUUAUUUUGUAACUUUUCAUAAUUGAUUAAAAUAAAAAACACUAAUAAUUAGAUGACUAUAAUUAUAAUUAUAAUUAUAAUAAAGUAAAAGUAUUAAUAAUUCAUAUUAUGUUAUCAUGCUUAUAGUAUUUAUAUGCAUAUAAUUAAUUAUAAGUAAUAAAUAUAAUGUAAUUUUAAUUCUUCGUAAUAUAAUAUAUCAUUAUAUUAUAAUAUAAGAAAGCAAAUCAUGUGUCAGGUAGUUUCAUAUUAACAAUUCAUGUUAUAUUAAUCAUGCUUAUAAUAUAUGUUACAUAUAUAAAUAAUACGAAGAUUUAUUAAUUUUUAUAAUAUAAUAUAAUAUAUGUUAAAUAUAUGUAUGCCACGUUAUAUGAGUAAGGCUUAAUGAUAAAUUUGGUCACUAAUGUUUACAUGUUUUGUCAAAAUAAUUCUUAUUGUAUUUUUAUGUUUUUUUUCAUCAACUUUUUAUCUUUUUUCAAACUGCAUUUUUACCAUAUUUAAUUAAUAAAUUCACGAGAUUUAAUGAAUAAAUAUAAGGUUUCAAUAUUUUAUAUGUUUGUUUAUUGAGAAAAUUUUCUACUUGAGUUAAAUUUUUUUUAGGUAACUAUGUUAUUUUCUUUAAAUUAAGAGUUGUUUUUUAAUUUAAUGUAUUAUUUACUUAUUUUAUUAUUUUUCACAUGCAAAUCUAAGUAAUAAAUUAAAUUUCAUUAAAAAUGUUACACAUAUGAAAUUUCACAUCAUUCCCAUUAAUUUUUUUAACUGACUUUCAUUAAAACUGUUAGAAAAACAGAAAAUAAAAAAAAACAAAGAUAGAUGACCAAAAAAUAAAAAAAUACAAUUAAAAUUAUUUUGAGAAACAUAUAAAUAAUAAUAGCUAUGAGUACUAAGUAAAAAAAAACAGUGUGAUCGUAAGCUUGAUUUUGUUGUAGUGGGAGAAUGAAAAAUCUAACAGAAGAUACACCAUAAUUAAAUUACGUACACCACGUUAUUAUUAUAUUUUUAUUUUCUUUAAAAGAUAGGAUGGCAUUGGAAACGUUUAUGGCCUCAAAUGGUUGCUAUAAAUCAGAGUGUGAGCCCUCAAUUCUCCAGAAACACAAACGGAAAUGGGGAAACCACACGUUUUGGUAAUCCCUUAUCCAGCACAAGGCCAUGUUAUUCCUCUCAUGGAACUCUCCCAAAACUUAGCCGAACAAGGCAUCAAAAUCAUCUUUGUUAACACAGAGUUUAAUCACAAGAGGGUCCUGGAUGCAUUCGGCGAGAAGGUGAAUGAAAAUGGCUUACUUCAUCUACUUUCAGUCCCCGAUGGACUGGAAGAUGGGGAAGAUAGGAAUCAGUUAGGGAAGUUAACUGAAAGAUUAUGCCAGGUUAUACCUACUCAAAUCAAGGAGCUCAUUCAUAAGGUUAAUGAAUCAGAUGAUGAUAAGAUUUCAUGUGUUUUAGCUGAUAUUACCAUGGGGUUGGCUCUUGAUGUUGCGGCGGAGUUGGGGAUUCCUACGGUGGGCUUGUGGCCGGCUGCGGUG